UACGAAGGGGGCUAGCGUUGUUCGGAAUUACUGGGCGUAAAGCGCACGUAGGCGGAAUGUUAAGUCAGGGGUGAAAUCCCGGGGCUCAACCCCGGAACUGCCUUUGAUACUGGCAUUCUCGAGUCCGGAAGAGGUGAGUGGAAUUCCGAGUGUAGAGGUGAAAUUCGUAGAUAUUCGGAGGAACACCAGUGGCGAAGGCGGCUCACUGGUCCGGAACUGACGCUGAGGUGCGAAAGCGUGGGGAGCAAAC
rnacentral:rRNA from 1 species